UCCGGUGUGGUGUAGCGGUAACAUUGUUGACUCUCAUCUGCUGUCUCAUCAGCGUACAGAUCUCAAUAGCCCGGGGUUCGAUUCCCCGCAUCGGAA